ensembl:misc_RNA 7SK 7SK RNA
GAGUGGGUUGCCAUGCCCUCCUCCAGCCGACCUCCCCAACCCAGGGAUCGAACCCAGGUCUCCUGCAUUGUAGGUGGAUUCUUUACCAUCUGAGCCACCAGGGAAGCCCACCAUCCCUGAUAGAGGAGGACUGGUCUUCUGUCAAGGGUAUAGGAGUAGCUGUGCUCCCCUGCUAGAACUUCCAAACAAGCUCUCAAGGUGUCGUUAUAAGAAGAGGAAAUUAGGAUUCAAACAUACAGAGGGAAGACCAUGU